rnacentral:SRP_RNA from 1 species
GGGUAAGUCUUACACGAUCUGCUCCCUUUUAACUCCCCCAGGACAGGAAUGUAGCAAGGGUACACUGGUUGAGCGAUGCGAUGUAAGUAGCUUACCCUCU